AGCAGCAAGUAGCAAGCAGGCAACCUCGCAUGCCCCGUCUGACCCUUCUGCUAAUGUCCCUGACUGGGGCAGCCCUUUUGGUCCUAAACAUAUCCAUCAUUAUCUGCUUCAUCAGACGCUUCGCCACGAGCAGGAAUACUCCAGCUUCUUCUUAUAAAACUGCGGUUUCUGAGACGCACACACCGCCUCAACUCCCGCGAUGACCACAGAUGACGACGAAGAGAUGAAAUCAGGUGGCCCUGAAAGUGUUACCACUGCAGCCCAAUACCAGAUGACUCGGCAAUCUUCAGACGUAAAAGAUGAUGGAGGUAGUCCACGAAUAACAAAUAUAAUCCAUCACUACAGCACAGAUAUCAC